rnacentral:lncRNA from 1 species
CCUUUUCAGAACUAAAUCCACACAUGGUGGUAUUUGAAUCAAAAACUUCAGUUUUUUUCACAAAUGGUAUUUAAUUUUUUUUUAAAUACAAAUUAUAAAAAGUAUAUAUUAAAUUUAAUAAAAUAAAUAUUAUUGGAAUAUUUUUUUUUUAUUUUAUAGUAAGACCAUGUGAAUUAAAUAAAAAUUAUUCUAAGUUGUAAAUAGGCCAAUUUGCUCGGCCCCCUUUGAAACCCAAAAAUAAAUAAUAAUUAAAUAUAAAUAUUAACAGUCCAAAGUCCAAAUAAUUACAAUAGUUCACGGGCCAAUAACCAAUCAAAGCCCAAUUACAAGACCAGAACUUAAACCUUAUAACAGUCUACUAACAGGCUUUGACCCAAAUUAAAACACUAAUACCUAGACCCAAUAACUAAUGCCCCACAACCAAUACCCAAUCCCCAAAUUAACCCGAGACCCAAAAUCACAUUGGCCCAAAUGGCCCAGAAAUUUUAGAACCCUAGGUUUCUUUCCCAUGCGCCGCAACCAGCCAAGCUUCAGCCCUGGCCUCCGUACCGUCCAGCAGUCAUGCCCGCGCCAGCACACCGCCCCGUACCCGAGCGCACACCUGUACCUGCGAAGAAAGGGACAAACCACAGCAGCAAAUGCAUACAAGAAAAUAACAGACAGAAAAAAAUGGAAAAAUUGUAUAUUUUAUUUUUUUUCUCUUCUUCUCUUGGCUAUAAAGCCUGAAGAGAAUCAAUUGUAAAAGUUUACGUUAAGAGAGAAUACAAAAGGCUCAAUACGCAAUACAAAAAGGCGAUUAAAAUCCUAAAAGGUGAUUUCUUCUCGAGUUUCUUCUGAGUUCUUCGACUGAUCGUUUCCUUUUAGCCAUUCGCUUUUGUUUUUUUUUUAAAAAAGGGAAAUCAAACCAAAAAGAAGAGGAGACCUUACCUUGAAAGCACGCCGCGAGAUCCCUUCCUCUUCGCAGGAAUCGAACUGUCGAGGGGGUCUUAAGGCUAAAAAAGGGACUCCAAGGCUCGGAUGGUUUAGUCCCCUGUCAUGGUGAUAGAUCGGAGCCUAAAGGGACCCUUGGGAUUCGACUGAUAAACAAAGAAAAGGGGGGCUAGGGUUUGGGCAGUGGUUCGGCUGUUUGAAGGCUAUACUUAGCCUUAUAAGGAAAGCAGAAAACGACGCCGUUUAAGCCAAAUACAAUGGCUUGAAAAACGACGUCGUUUGAGGCAAUAACCGACCGGCUCCGUUUUGCUGCCCCGAUGACCCGCGUGUUUUUGCGGUGAGGGUUUAUUUUCAGGAUUAGUCCUCCUCGUUUUGUC